ACAUAGACUUGUGAACAUAUUAAGUAUUUUUCUUAAUUAAUAAAGGGCAAGUUUUAUUCAUAUUUAUUAUUAGAAGCACACUACAUUUAUAUAAAUCGUCCAUUGAAUUUUCGUUAAGAAAAUAUAUUCCUAAGAGUUAGGAAUUUGAGAUAUAUAUUUCUUUAUACAAGAUUCUUAAACGCUCCUAGCCAUAGGAAUAUCAUAAGGACGAUGAUAUUUCCGGAUAGGCCGGUGUAUGCUAUACUUCUAAGUUGAGGUGACGAAUCUCAAGUCAUUAGUGUAGGGACACUAAAGUAAGCAUGCAGGUGCUUGUUAGCGAACAAGUACACUGAGCGUGACCAUUUAGUUGAACAGUCAUAUGGUUCCAUAUUCGCUAGUGACUAGUUCUAUGCUACCGUUGUGUGAAGUACUCCUCAGACCUUAGGCAUCAUGGUUGCUUCACAUAUAGAUUACUACUGUUUGACUGUGCUAAUACUUAGACUCUAAUCAUUGGUCUACGUCUGGUACUGAUUGGCUGUAGUAGUUUAUAUGGGGAGGCGUGUGAGUGUGCAAUAAGGAAUUCAACACUCUCAACAAUGAGAGAGAACGUCCUAUGUAGACUAUCGAACUCGACUCGGAAAAUCCUUGGCCAGGGUACGUGGUGUGCGGAAAGAGUUUCCAGCUGUGUUACCAUGUUGAGUCAGUUUUAGAUAUUCUAGUCAUAUGAUCGAAUAAUAAGAUUUGGCGAGUAACCAUAAUCUUAGUUCGAUCGGGGCGUUGUGUGUUGGAAGGAAUUAAUCACACGGUAACGGUUAGCGGAAAGGUUCGUUUUAUCAUCACUAUUUUGGAUUGCCGUGAUAUACUGCUAGGUGUCACUCACGGACAGUGAGAGAAGUAAACAAAUAAUUUAAAUAAAUUGUUUUACAGAUUAGAAGAGUUCUAAUUCAAUAUUGAAGGGUUUGAUAUUGGACCUCACUGCUGAAUAGUAAUGAAACUAUGCGGUUACACACAAUAGGAAUUGUGUGCAUCCAACAUGACAAGAUGAGUACAAUACACUAAACAAUUUAGUGGAAAUAGUGAGAAAUUAUGAUUUGAAUUUGAAUGUUACGAAAGAUUCAAUCUCUAAUUACAUUAGAGAAUAAUUAAAUAUUCAUAAAAUAUUCUAAUUAGAUUAGAUUUAAAUAUGAAUAUUUAGUUAUGAUUUAAUGGAUAAGAUCAAAUUAAAUUGAGAGAUAAGAAUUAAUUCUAUUGGAUAAGCUUCAACUAAUUACUAAAUUGAUCAUUAUCCUUAAAUCA
rnacentral:lncRNA from 1 species